rnacentral:rRNA from 1 species
AGCGAACGCUGGCGGCAGGCCUAACACAUGCAAGUCGAACGAACCUUUCGGGGUUAGUGGCGGACGGGUGAGUAACACGUGGGAACGUGCCUUUAGGUUCGGAAUAACUCAGGGAAACUUGUGCUAAUACCGAAUGUGCUCUUCGGGGGAAAGAUUUAUCGCCUUUAGAGCGGCCCGCGUCUGAUUAGCCAGUUGGUUGAGGUAAUGGCUCACCAAGGCGACGAUCAGUAGCUGGUCUGAGAGGAUGAUCAGCCACAUUGGGACUGAGACACGGCCCAAACUCCUACGGGAGGCAGCAGUGGGGAAUCUUGCGCAAUGGGCGAAAGCCUGACGCAGCCAUGCCGCGUGAAUGAUGAAGGUCUUAGGAUUGUAAAAUUCUUUCACCGGGGACGAUAAUGACGGUACCCGGAGAAGAAGCCCCGGCUAACUUCGUG